CAUUCAAAAUCGCUUAAUCCUAAUUAUAGGAGCGGAGGAACCAAUGUUUGAGUCGAUCUUUCUUCGACUAGGGGUGAAUCAAACGUAAUGUUUCGUUUGUAGGGCUACUCUUUUGCCCGAAUCCGACAGCUAACUUCGUAAGCGUUAGAGAGGGAGUGA
rnacentral:sRNA from 2 species